AUUCUUAUCUAAGUUUGACACCUAUGUCAAGGAGAAUCUGAUUUAAAGCUUCCGAGGUAUUGUGAGGUAUCGCAGGGAACUCAAUGGAGAUCAGAGAUCCACCAAAUCCAGGGACAAGAGCAGGGGCAGCUAUUCUCUGUCUGGGUCCUGCUCUCUUACAGUCAUUCUUGCUGUGUCUUACUUUCUCUGGUAAAAUUUGGAUAAUUGACAGGGUAAUUGUCCUAAAGAACAGAGAUGAAAGGUUAAGAAUAAUUCCUAAGUCAUCCUGGCAACGACAGUCAAGUAGAUCAAACAAACUGGACAAAAGACAAAUACCCUGGAGAAGUGCUGGAGUAGUUGAUAAUAGUAUUUAAACCUAGAUAAGAUAAACUGAAAUUUUCUCAUAGCUCACUAUGUAAGUUUCCAUUCUUUGUGAUUUGGUAGAUUGGAAAAAUGCAGUCAUUUUUACAUAUUAAAAUCUCGUUUUUCAUAUGUCUGUUAAUAGUUAUUCACUUAAAAAUUCUUCAAUACCAGUGUUCACGUUAAAAAAAAUUAGUAUAGCCCCAUAAAUGAUAUAAUAAUAUAUGUAAUUUUUUCUGAUCCCUAUCUCGAUACACACAGAUCAUCCAUAUUUGGAAUCAAGCAAUGUAUGCAUUAUAAUUUGCCAUUCACUCCAAUUGAUAUUGUCUUCUAAAUGGAUGCAGAUAAAUUGUUUGUUUUUUUUUUUUGGUAAAUUUUGGUAAUUUUCAGUGGCUAGUGUAAUCUUCAGAUAUCUUUAGCACCCACC
rnacentral:lncRNA from 1 species